rnacentral:rRNA from 1 species
GGAUAACUACUGGAAACGGUAGCUAAUACCGCAUAACGUCGCAAGACCAAAGAGGGGGACCUUCGGGCCUCUUGCCAUCGGAUGUGCCCAGAUGGGAUUAGCUUGUAGGUGAGGUAACGGCUCACCUAGGCGACGAUCCCUAGCUGGUCUGAGAGGAUGACCAGCCACACUGGAACUGAGACACGGUCCAGACUCCUACGGGAGGCAGCAGUGGGGAAUAUUGCACAAUGGGCGCAAGCCUGAUGCAGCCAUGCCGCGUGUAUGAAGAAGGCCUUCGGGUUGUAAAGUACUUUCAGCGGGGAGGAAGGGAGUGAGGUUAAUAACCUCAUUCAUUGACGUUACCCGCAGAAGAAGCACCGGCUAACUCCGUGCCAGCAGCCGCGGUAAUACGGAGGGUGCGAGCGUUAAUCGGAAUUACUGGGCGUAAAGCGCACGCAGGCGGUCUGUCAAGUCGGAUGUGAAAUCCCCGGGCUCAACCUGGGAACUGCAUUCGAAACUGGCAGGCUGGAGUCUUGUAGAGGGGGGUAGAAUUCCAGGUGUAGCGGUGAAAUGCGUAGAGAUCUGGAGGAAUACCGGUGGCGAAGGCGGCCCCCUGGACAAAGACUGACGCUCAGGUGCGAAAGCGUGGGGAGCAAACAGGAUUAGAUACCCUGGUAGUCCACGCUGUAAACGAUGUCGACUGGAGGUUGUUCCCUUGAGGAGUGGCUUCCGGAG